CUAAGCUCUGCAACCAUUUCACAUCCCCUUCAAUUUGUGCAAAAAUUCAAAAGUUUCCAUUAAUUUCACAUUUUUAAACCUUAGGAGAUUUUGAAAGGUCUUCACGAUUUUGAACCCUAAAUCUUUCAUUUCCUAUCUUCUCUUUCGUGUUUGUUCUACCGAAAAGGAUAGUUGCAGAACGAUCUUCUAUUUCCUAUCUUCUCUUUUGCGUUGGUUCCACCAAAAAAGGAUCGUUGCAUAAUGGGUUUAGUCGACUUUCACCGCUUCAAAAUCUUCGUCUUCAAAAUCUUCAUCCCCUAACUUCCUCCACUUCAAAAUCUUCAAAAACUUUGUCGUUCUUCAUAUGUUCCGCUCAAAUCGGAACAAGAAUCGGGAUUUGUUAUGUAUGUAUAGACGUAUAUUGUUUUUAUAAAUUGUAGCAAAUUUAAAGAUGAAAAAAGAGAAGGGAGAAGGCAGAAAAAGAACAAGUGACAGGCUACGAGCCGCAUGGAUCAUUAAUUAGUUCGAAGAAAUCAUUGGCAACGAGGAUUUAAACUCUGUCAAGUUCUUCCGAUGAGAGACCACAAGAUACAAUGGUGGAGGGGUCGGGAAGCAAGCACAAAGUCCAAUAACUUUGAAAAAGAGGGGGAGGAAUGAACCUCCAAAGGAAGAUUCUACUGUAAAGAAGAAACAGAGGCUAAAAAGCUUGAUUUCAAAAAGGCAAGUUUUCAGAAGGAAACGUGAAGAAGAGAAAAAAUAAGAUAUUGAAGAAAAGAUAUGUGUUGUACAUUGUUGUACUUUAAUUCAUUAAAUGUACUGUAUUAUAUAAAUUCAUAAUAUAACCUUGACAAACAGGAAAAUACUGAAAAUGAAGAAGAUUGACAAGGAGAACAAGAUGAAGAUGAAGAAGGCGAAGGGGAGACAGACAGUAGAUGAAGAAUCCAGUUCAUUGACAAAAGAGACGAGUGAACAAAAUGAAGUAUCAAUAGAUAAUAAAAAGAGAAAAAAGACUAUGGAAAACGGAAAGAAAGUGUAUAUAACAUUUAAUAUAACUGUAAAAAAAAUGAAUUUUGCUAUAAAUUUUCUUUUUACAACAUAGGUGAAGACUACUAAAAAGGAAGAAAAGGCAAAAUAAGAUAGAAGAUGGAAGGGCAAAGCACCGAUGAAACAAGAAAAAAUUGAGGACUCAGUGAACUUGAUGUGCUCUAAAUAGAAGAAUAUCCUUAUGGUAGACGACGAUGAACUCUUUGACAAGUAUCCAUGGGGGAGGGUUGCUUUUGACCUUCUAGUGGAGUUCAUGAAUAGAGUUGUGUGUAGCAAGGGCACACGGAAGUUUCAAUGGGAGGCUUUAUUUUCCCCAUUCUUGCUUGGGCUUACGAGCUUGAAGUGUCCUAUAUGCUUGCUACACCCAAUGAAGUGGGCAGGCCAUACUUCGUAUCAUUCCUCAAGGCAAAAAAAAUAUAUACUCCAAGAAGUAGAAGAUGAGCUUAGAAAGAGCCAACACACUAACCGCGUUGCUCAUGUGUCACUGAAUAGAGGCAUGCCCUUUACACAUCAGAUUGAUGGUCUGACAAGGAUUGUAUAAAAGAUUGAAAAAAGCCAAAAGAAAUUGGAGGAGAGUAUGAACAAUAUUUUUGAAUUUUUUAAAUCCCUAGAGUUGAAAAUGAAUAAAAAGUUUGAAGAACUAGAACAGAAAUUGAAUAGAAUUAUAGAAGAAAUCAAGAGUUAGCAACCUAGUUCUUCAGGUCCCCAAGGGACUAGCGAAUAUAUAGGAGGAAGAGCCUUUGAGGAGAACCUUGACAAGGUAGAAGAGGACCAACAAGAAGAGGAAGAACAAAAAGAAGAAGAUGAAGAUUUGAACUUGGAUUCAAGCAAUCCAAAAGUGUUUGAAAAAAAAGACGACGAUGAAAACGAAGAAGGAAAGGGAAGCAUGGCUGGAAGUCGAAAAUAAACUUACGGAGGGCCAGCUGGUGGACAAACUAAAUUGCACAAAUCAGGAACAACACCAACCACCCAAGGACAAGAUGGAGAUCACUCACCAAUAUAAGGUAAAGAAAAAACUGAAUAUAGCACAACCUGUUCAAAAAGUUUAUAAUCAUCUUAGAAACGAACAUGUGUACAUAAUUGUAAUAGGGCACAGAUGAUACUGAGGAAGAAAUGAACAGGCUCAUACGGUCAAUCGACAAAAAGGUUAUAUACGAUAAAAUGAAGAAAAAGAAGAAGAUAUAAUGAAAAUAGUUAGUAUUGAAUGAUUGGCAUAUGUUUGUUAUAAUGAAUGACUAUUAGUUUUAAAAAGUGUGGAUCCCAAUUACAGGGUAUUUGUAACUUUGACAACGUGAAAUAGCUUCUGUGAUAAUCAAUGAUGUGUAUAUUUUUUUAUUAUUUACAAA